GAUGAAGAACGCAGCGAAAUGCGAUAAGUAAUGUGAAUUGUAGAAUUCAGUGAAUCAUCGAGUCUUUGAACGCACAUUGCGCCCCCUGGUAUUCCGGGGGGCAUGCCUGUCCGAGCGUCAUUGCUGCCCUCAAGCACGGCUUGUGUGUUGGGCCGUCGUCCCCCUCCUAGGGGACGGGCCCGAAAGGCAGCGGCGGCACCGCGUCCGGUCCUCGAGCGUAUGGGGCUUCGUCACCCGCUCCGUAGGCCCGGCCGGCGCUUGCCGACGACCAUCAAUCUCUUUCUCCAGGUUGACCUCGGAUCAGGUAGGGAUACCCGCUGAACUUAAGCAUAUCAAUAAGCGGAGG
rnacentral:misc_RNA from 1 species